GCGGCUUGUGGGCUGGCAGUCGGUGCCGUUGCCGGUGCCAGUGGCACCCCCGGCACCAUGGUCGGUUCGGCGUUCGGCGCGCCACUCGCCGCG
rnacentral:tRNA from 1 species